CUGCGAUCGCCAUGCUGAUGUGCGACGGAGUCCGUGGUGGUUGCAGAGAGUUUAUAGACGUCCAUCGCACCGUGACUUUCCACUUAAAGUCGCGGCCCGAACACGGGAGAGAACGCUGAGCGUUACAAC
rfam:Corynebacterium mustelae strain DSM 45274, complete genome.